rnacentral:piRNA from 3 species
UACUGAGUGCUUACUAUGUGCCAGGCAA